CCUUUACGCAUCUCAGAUUAUUUUGUAAACCCUACACCCCUUCCUCCUCCUUGUCUCUCCUUGUCGUAUUUCAUUUGAAGCUCACAUUUUUUCCCUCCCGCACUCCUCUCCUCCUCCCUCAUCAUCAACUUCAUUUGUUUUUAAGUUCUUCUGGUGCAACAAUGUAGAUUUUCUUCUUCUCAGAGAGUUAACUUCAAGGGUAGAUUUCCUUAAGAUCAGGUGUCGCUGCAUAUGAAACUACGGCCGCCGCACAUGGAAGUGCGGUUGGGAGGAAUGAGAACUGCACUUGGAGCUGCGGUUGACGGGUUGCCGCAGUUGGACUUGCGGUUGACGUUUGUACCUU
rnacentral:sRNA from 1 species